GGCCAGCAGCCGCGGUAAUACGGAGGUGGCAAGCGUUGUUCGGAAUUAUUGGGCGUAAAGGGCGCGUAGGCGGCAUGGCAAGUCAGAUGUGAAAGCCCCAGGCUUAACUUGGGAAUUGCAUCUGAAACUGCUUUGCUUGAGUCCUGGAGGGGGUAGUGGAAUUCCCAGUGUAGCGGUGAAAUGCGUAGAUAUUGGGAGGAACACCUGCGGCGAAGGCGGCUACCUGGACAGUGACUGACGCUGAGGCGCGAAAGCUAGGGGAGCGAACGGGAUUAGAUACCCCGGUAGUCCUAGCCGUAAACGAUGGGCACUUGGUGUUGGGGGUAUUGAGUCCCUCUGUGCCGUAGUUAACACGAUAAGUGCCCCGCCUGGGGAGUACGGUCGCAAGACUGAAACUCAAAGGAAUUGACGGGGGCCCGCACAAGC
rnacentral:rRNA from 1 species